rnacentral:lncRNA from 1 species
AGAGGAGCCUGAAGAACAAUUGAGAGAAGCCUCCUUUGCCAACGCGUUGCCCACCAGGGCUGCACGUGGUACCCUUGCUCCAAGAUGCUUCCCAAAAACACCAGGACCAGGCAGUUAAAUGGCACUUGUACCAGCUCGGUGGACAUGGAGCUCUUCCUUCAUUAUUCCCUCAUCCCAUCACUCUUCAUCAUGUUGAUCUUGUCCUUCCUUCAAAGAUGAGAGCAUUGUAGACAGAGAGAUGAUACCUCUUACCUGCUGGGGAACUGCUUUGGCAUUAUCAUCCUUUGAGCUUCUGAUUGGAGGCAUUGAAGUCGGCCUGUCCCACUUCCCCUUCUUUGCCUGCCUCUCGUCGGAAUUCCAGCUGGUCAGCUCCAUCUUGGGCUUCUGCUACUCUGAUCUGGUUUGCUGUCACCAUUAUUCAAGUUUCACAGUGUCCCCACGGGCAGACAAUCCUUCCUGACGACAUGUCUGAAUGAAAGUAAGAUGGAGUCUCUCAAGCUGGAGUGCAGUGGCGUGAUCUCGGCUCACUGCAACCUCUGCCUCCCGGGUUCAAGUGAUUCCUCCAGCUCAGCCUCCCAAGUAGCUGGGAUUACAGGAUUCCAUAUCAGGAUACCACAGGACACUGAGUCCUUAGGUUCUUCCCGGCUGUGAUCGUUUCUCAGGCCUACAUUGUUUUUGAUGACCUUGAUGGUUUUAGGGGGUACUAGUCAGGUGUUUUUGGGAACUGUUUCUCAGCUGAGGUUUGUCUGAUGUAGUGGGAUUAUUAGUUUUGGGAGGGAACAUGUCAAGGUAAAAUGCCAUUCUCAUCCUGUCGUAUGAUACACACUUUCAACUUGACUGAUCACUGCUCACACUGGCCUUGAUCACCUGGCUGAGACAGUGUUUGUUAGGUUUCUCCAACGUGAAGUUACUCUUUUUCCUCCUUUGCUAUACUGAGUUCUUGGUAGGAUGUCAUUAUGUGAAGCCCACAGUUUAGAAGUGGGGAGUGAUGCUCUGCUUCCUGGAGUGUCUGAUCUCCUUUUGAAAUGAUUUUUCAUGCUGAACACAGAGUAAUUAAAGUAAGAAAAAUACGGAUAUU